CUCUCAGGAAUGUGAGAGUAAAGUUGUGAA
rnacentral:piRNA from 1 species